CAAAAAGUAUAGGUAAACCCUCUGCUAGUUCCUAAAGGGAGCAAAACCAUCAAAUUGCGGGAACAUCUUAAAGCAAUUUUUAACCAAGCGAGAACGGUAACGUAUUUCGUGGCGCAGGUAAUGACUCGCGGUAAGGUAAAAUAAAAAUUGAUGUACGAAAGGAAAUAGAAAAUCCGCAGCCAAGUUCGAAAUAAAAUUCGAAUGCAGUUCAUCGACUAAAUGUUGGUUGGCGCAAGCUUAAAAUAUAGUCAGACCUCAAUCGAAAGAUUUAG
rnacentral:ncRNA from 1 species